AUUUCCUUUAAAAUUAUUAUUAUAUAGAAAUAUUUUUGAGGUGACAAUUGUCCUCUAAACAAAAUUCACAUUUCAGCUGCUAAGCUAAUUUACCCACAAUCCAUCAGUCAAAAGAAAUGCCCAACCCACACUGUAGACAUCACGGACAGAGGAGAACAAAAUGGGGGCACCCAGGUUUUAAGACCCAGCACAAGAAAGAAAAUAUAAUAAAUAUAAAUAAAGACAAGUGGAUGAGAGGACAGUGACAUCAAUGAUUAAGAUAGAAGGCUAAGAAGGAAAGGAAUACUGAAAGAAAGAACAACACACAACAGAGUCACCUUAAAGCACCUCUGAUGCCAUGAAACUAGGUCAAGUAUUUAUUUAUAAGGUUGGGCACCAUGCAAUUAAAAAUGAUGGUUCAGAAUAUAUUGACAUUAAUACAGUAAUCACCUGUGCUCAGUAAGUGGAUAUAAGGUCAUCACCUGACGUUACACCAGACUUCUACACCAGUAACGACAACUCUGUAAACAGUAAUCACCUGUGCUCCGUAAGUGGAUUUAAGGUCAUCACCUGACCUUACACCAGUAACAACAACGUUUUGUGAGUUUAUGGCGUUUGUGAAUACCCUGAGCAGUACGGUGGUCUACAUUAACCGCCAACCCCCUUCUCCCAGAUAGCAAAUUUAAUUUUAGGGGUCCGCACCUUAUGAUGCAUUUUAAUUUAAUUUAGCAAUUCGAGACAAACGUUCACUUUGCAAGGUAAAAGACCCACGCCUUAAUGUACACUCGAGCAUUAAUAAUGUUGUGUAACUUGUGUAAAUGCCUAUUUUAUAACAAGGAAGAAAUGUAUACUUCACCGUGCCAAAUGAAGCAAUGUUAUGUGAAUAUGCCGUCGGGUGGGUCUGUGUCAGUGACUGCUCCCCUUAGGUGUGGCUCUAGGAACAAGUCGCUAGUAAGAAGUGGUUAAUCCCGAUAGGCUGGAAGAACUGGAUUAUUAAUUAUGAUAUUACUCUGACUGUGGUGCUUAUAAUGAACAAUAACGUAUGACUUCGCACAAAAUGGAGGGCAAAUUGUUCCCUGUACAAAACACAAUACAUGCUUUAAAAAAAAAACUGGCUACAAUUUAUACAUAACUGUUAGAUAACAGAAACUAUUAUAUGAAGAAAAAU